AACGAACGCUGGCGGCAUGCCUAACACAUGCAAGUCGAACGAUGGCUUCGGCCAUAGUGGCGCACGGGUGAGUAGCGCGUGGGAACCUGCCCUUUGGUACGGAAUAACCGCGGGAAACUGCGGCUAAUACCGGAUAAGCCCUACGGGGGAAAGAUUUAUCGCCGAAGGAGGGGCCCGCGUCCGAUUAGGUAGUUGGUGGGGUAACGGCCUACCAAGCCUUCGAUCGGUAGCUGGUCUGAGAGGAUGAUCAGCCACACUGGGACUGAGACACGGCCCAGACUCCUACGGGAGGCAGCAGUGGGGAAUCUUGGUCAAUGGGCGCAAGCCUGAACCAGCGAUGCCGCGUGAGUGAUGAAGGCC
rnacentral:rRNA from 1 species